rnacentral:misc_RNA from 1 species
AAAGUCGUAACAAGGUCUCCGUAGGUGAACCUGCGGAGGGAUCAUUAACACGUUUCCUAAACAAAACGUUUCCAACCAAACAAACUGUGAACCAUAUUUUUUUUCAGAUUCUCAUCAGAGGGAUGAAUGGCACCGCAUCGUGGUGGAGAGGACUUGACCGAGUUCUCUGUGCGACCAUUCUGUAGAGGUUCUGCGAGACCUCAAUCCGCUAGUGAGAAUUUUUUGAGCGACCCACCAGGCAAGGCUGCCUCUCUCGUAGAGCUAGCUGAUUGCCGAAUUCUUUAACAAACAACUUUUAACCCCUUUAAACAACAUAACAAACUAAACACGAACCUUCUUCGAAAGCCCAAGUGUCGCCUGUUUCGGGCCGCUUGUCUUUUUGUAAGAUUGAUAUACGUAAUGCUGAACAACUCUUAGCAAUGGAUAUCUUGGUUCUC